rnacentral:miRNA from 7 species
GGGUCGGGCGCGGUGCUGCACUGCGCGUCCAAAGGUCACA